CGUUAGACGAACGGUCUGGAAAGUCCGACGAUACAGGGUGAUAGUCCCGUAGUUGACGACGUGUGUUCAGUGAAAUCGAGUAGGGCGGGACACGUGAUAUCCUGUCUGAAUAUGGGGGGACCAUCCUCCAAGGCUAAAUACUACUGACUGACCGAUAGUGAACCAGUACCGUGAGGGAAAGGCGAAAAGAACCCCUGUGAGGGGAGUGAAAUAGAACCUGAAACCGUGUACGUACAAGCAGUAGGAGCAGGCUU
rnacentral:rRNA from 1 species